rnacentral:rRNA from 1 species
AUGAGCUCGUCUGGGAAGACCUCAUGGCCGGAGCUGCUCCACUGGGCUGUGGAGCCGGCGAUGGAGCAGAUCAAGAGCGACAGGCCGGAGCUGAUGAUCGAGUCGCUGCCGGUGGGCACCUACCCAGGCGUCCAGGCGGACCGCGUGCUCGUCUUCUUCAACCAGGAGGAGCUCGUCCGCCGCGUCGUGGUCAUCCCCUACGUCGGCUAG